GCUUUGAUAGUUUAACUAAAACGUUGGUCUUGUAAGUCAAUAAUGAAAUCUAUUUUCUCAAAACA
rnacentral:tRNA from 1 species